rnacentral:rRNA from 1 species
UACGAAGGGGGCUAGCGUUGUUCGGAAUUACUGGGCGUAAAGCGCGCGCAGGCGGUCUUCCAAGUCAGUGGUGAAAGCCCGAGGCUCAACCUCGGAACUGCCUUCGAUACUGCGGGUCUCGAGUCCGGGAGAGGUGAGUGGAAUUCCUAGUGUAGAGGUGAAAUUCGUAGAUAUUAGGAAGAACACCAGUGGCGAAGGCGGCUCACUGGCCCGGUACUGACGCUGAGGCGCGAAAGCGUGGGGAGCAAACAGG